rnacentral:lncRNA from 1 species
CCGACCGACCGACCGACGGCCGGACCGACCGACUGACGGACGCCAUCACCGGCUAAUUAUCGGCUCACGACCGACUGAGGAUAUGUCGGGCGCACCUUUCCCGACCGUCUGAACCCAGAGGUCUGAUGGCCGACUCACGAAAGACUCGCCGACCAACGGAGGGGCCCGACGCCACUCAGCUGGCCACCGACUUAGGGUCGGUCGGCUCCUCCAAUCGCCGUACAGCCGCCAGACCUUGUCAGC